rnacentral:rRNA from 1 species
UACGUAGGGUGCAGGCGUUAAUCGGAAUUACUGGGCGUAAAGCGUGCGCAGGCGGUUUUGUAAGUCUGUCGUGAAAUCCCCGGGCUCAACCUGGGAAUUGCGAUGGAGACUGCAAGGCUAGAAUCUGGCAGAGGGGGGGUAGAAUUCCACGUGUAGCAGUGAAAUGCGUAGAGAUGUGGAGGAACACCGAUGGCGAAGGCAGCCCCCUGGGUCAAGAUUGACGCUCAUGCACGAAAGCGUGGGGAGCAAACAGG